ACACAAACCCUAAUUUCUUUACACUCAACACACUCACCCCCUCCCAAACCCUAACCCCGUCGUCACCCCUUCUCACCCUCAAUUCACACACGACACACACACACACACUCAACCCCUCACCACGCACACCCGCAAUCAAUGAAGAAGAGAGAAAGAGAGGGAAAAGCAUCGUGGAGCUGUUGUAGGCCAUCACCGCCAACGCUGAUAAGGGAAGAUAGGACAGCGCAAUGCUGGCGAGGAGAGUCGUCACUGUUGCUUUUGCGGGAGAAGAGAGACACGAGCCAUGGAUACGCCUGAUGGAGAGAGAGAUCGACAGAGGGUGUUGUCUGGUCCACGAUCGCCGCCGCGCCUUGUCGUCAUCAUCAGAGCCUUCCACCACCAUCAUGGUGCCAUUGAGCAUGAGGAAGAGAGAACCGCGGGCCAGUGAUCACCAGGGGAAGAAAGAGCCGUGCUUUCGCACCGUCGUCGAGCCAGUUCCUUCGUCUAUGAGCGCCAAUGAGAGAGAGAGAGCUCGAGGAAGAGAAGAACGUGAAGAGGAGGAGCUGGAAUCGCCGUUGUCGCCACCACUGCUGGGGGCCAACUGCCCUAUCAAGCUUAUGCCGCCGCCAGGUCUGCCGUCUGGUCACCGGGUAUGGCGCGGGUGUCACCGGAAUCACCAUUAGAGCUGUCGCCGCUUCGUUCUUGGUUCCUUUCUUUGUACGAGGCUGUGGCUACUGUGACUCUGUGAGGAUGGUCAAUAUUGAUACUGCUGCUGCAAGAUAAGAAUAGAAACAGAGUUUGUUGCAUAGUUAAGUCAUGAACGAGGUUAGAUGCAAGGAUUGUGGUUUUGUCCGACUUGCUCCCAGAUGGUAUUUGAGCUUUCUAGGUAGAUUCAAGGAUUGUGGUUUUAUUCUGCUUACUCCAGGUCAGAAUUUGAGCUUCUCGAAUAGACGCAAGAAUUGUAGUUUUGUCCCGCUUGUUCCGUUUGGUAUUUGUUGACCCUCCGUCACAAGAUGUGGCCUAACACUUAGACCUUUUCAGAUAAUUCCUCCAAGAGAAGUGAAUUCUUCUUGGGGUUGCAUGCACCGAGGGACUGUCCAGGGUUCGCUACCAGACAUGUCAGGUUUGGCUGUAUGAUGCGGUAUUUUACAACUCACAAACUAACCGGUAAGUGCACCGGGUCGUACCAAGUAAUACCUUACGUGAGUAAAAGUCGAUCCCACGAGGAUUGAUGGACUAAGAACCAAUGGUUAAGUGAUUGGCUUAGUUAGACAAACAGAAAAGAGUGUUUUGGUAUUCAAAGAGCAUUAAACAGUAAAUUAAGAAUUUCAGAAAGCAAGCAGCAAUGAGUUGGGAAUAAAAUAUGGAGAAAACAGUUAAGGCUUCAGAGUUAUCUUUUUUUCCGGAUUAACUUUUCUUACUAACUAAUUUAAUUAUGCAGGAUUUAAUUUAUGGCAAACUGUAUGUGACUAGACCCUAAUUUCUUAGACCUUCCUAGUCUCCUCUAAAAUUCAUUAACUGCCAAUUCCUUGGUUAAUUAAUUCCAAUUAGAUGGUGAUAAUCAAUUUCUAGUUUAUAUGCCACAAAAACUCUAAUUACCUAAGAAAUAAAAGGAUUAUAUGUCACGUAUCCUGUUAAAUUCAGGUAAUUAAAAUUUAGGAGAAUUUGUUUUCAAGCUGUUGUUCAAGUAUAGAGCUUUUCCAAGUUAUACAAGAACUCAAUUAGAAAGAGAGUCAUACUUCCGUUUCACCCAAACUCAUAAAAUAAAGAGCGAAAACAAUUCUUAAAUUAUAAAUCCAUGCAUAAAUUAAAAUAGAAAAAUCAAUAAAAUCAAUCCAUACAAAUAGAAAGAGCUCCUAACCUUAACAAUAAAGGAUUAGUUGCUCAUAGUUCAAAGAAGAAAACUAGGAUUCUGGUAAAAUGUACAGAGUUCCAAUCUGAUGGCAUCUAAAUUCCUAUUUAUAACUAAUCCUAAUAAAUUUAAAAUCUAAUUAUCUAAAAUUAAAAAUAAUAUCUUUUCCUAAAAAUAAGAUUUGAAUUUAAAUUCGAAUUAAUUAACAAGUCUUCAGCUGAUGGGUGGGGAUCACUUGAUUUGUCCAUUCUGCAGCUUCUAAUCUGUGUUUUCUGGGUUGGAAACUGGGUCAAAACAGCCCAGAAAUCACCCCCAGCGUUUUUUUGCGUUUUUCUGCACGUGGCGCAUGUCACGCGUACGCGUCAGUCACGCGUACGCGUCGAUGGUAUUUUCUGCGAGUCACGCAGACGCGUCGGUCACGCGCACGCGUCAGUCAGCAAAUUUUCAAUUCACGCGUGCGCGUCAGUCACGCGCACGCGCCGCCAUGGAUACCUCCAAUUCACGCGCACGCAUCAGGCACGCGUGCACGUCGCUCCUCGCAGCCAUCUCCUUUGAUUCUCGUGCUGCAGAAACUCCAUCAAAUCUAGCCGAAUGCUACUUAAAAUAAAUAGUAUUCCACAAAACUCAAAAUAGCAUCCAUAGUGGCUAAAAUAUAAUUAAUUAUUGAUUAAACUCAACAAAUUAGAUGCAAAUUCACUAGGAAAAGAUAGAAAAGAUGCUCACGUAUCACUGUAUAAUCGACAGAUGAGCUCAUUGGCCAUAGGACAGGCAUGUAUCAUUUGCAUGUGUGUGUAUUAUUUGAGUGGGCAUCUUGUAUUUGGCUUGCCUAUUUGCAUAAUUAUACCUAUUUGCUAAUUGCCUUAACUAUCCUCUCUGUGUAUUCCUUGUAUUAUUUUAUCUAUGCUUGACCAACUGAAAAAUUCUUUAUGCUAGCGGUGGUGACACUCAGGAUUGUUUCUGAUGUGAUACUUUCGUGUUUGAGUAUUGGUGAUGAUAGUGUUGAUUGGCUUUGUUUGGGCUAGGGGCCGAGAUUUGUUUAUAUAUUUUGGGUCAGAGGUCGUAAUUUAAUUUGGUAAUGGGCUAGAGGCUGUGACUUGAUUUGGUAAUGGGCCGAAGGGACCGUACUUAUUUAUAUUAUGGGAUAUUAAUUGAGUUUUAAAAUUCUUACCAGUGAAAAGUGAGUUUCAUAUAUAUAUAUAUACAUAUAUAUAUUCUUGUGGGAUAAUUAAUUGUGAAUGUUUUUAAUAAAUUCAUAAGACGAACGAUAAUCACUACAAUUGAAAUCAAAUUUUUUUCUUUAUGCAUAUCCUCUUAUGGCAAUUUUUAAACCCUCUAUUAAGAAUCUGCGAGGACGAUGUUCUCACCCCCUACAGAUUUUUCUUUUCAAGACGGACGAAGAGUUUAAGGAGUUUCUUCUGCGCAUCUGGUUAUGUUGUAUAUUAUUGUAUAUAUUAUGUUUUUCUCCCGCCUCUAUGCUUAUAUUUUUGUAAGAGGGAUAAGAGUUGUGAUAUGUAAUAUUUGUGUGUGUGUGUGUAUUAUUAAGAAAAAGUAUUUCCAAUUUUUCAUAGAAAAAUUUAUACGAUUUCGAGUUAAAGGCUCCUAUCUUAUUAUUAAAUAUGAGGGUCAUCGUAAUAUCCACGCUAUCAGAGUGGUGUAGCCGAAAGUGUGACAUUUUGGUAAUAAGGAUGUUACAGUAGUAGCGAGAGGUUGAUGAAGAGCACAAUGAGAGGCGACAACGAUGGAGCAACAACAAUGAGAUAGAGUCGAGCACAAGAGAGAGGUAACAAUGAAAUUCCAGAUCUCGCGAUGAAGAGAAGCAUAGGUAAGAUCUAAGCAUGAAUAGCCUACCAGUACCAAUGGUAAUGACGAUGGAGUUGCAAUGGUGAGACAACCACGUGGGAGAGGCUGAGAGAGAGUCGAGUGGUAGGCUAUGUUCUUGCGAAAGAGAGAGUGAUUAGUAAACCCUAAGAGCUUAUUUAAAAUGUUAGGAAUUAAAAUUUACUCAAGAGUUGAAUUCUUUUUCUUGUUUCGGAACAACUAAAAAUGAA